AACGAACGCUGGCGGCAUGCCUAACACAUGCAAGUCGAACGACACCUUCGUGACUGGUUGCUCACGCGUGCGUCGCGCGGGGGAACGUUCCCUUAGAUUCGGAAAAACACCCCUACGGGGGUGCUAAUACCGGGUAAUUUACUCUAACCCAACAUUUGUCGCGCUUGUGUGAGCCGGCGUUGUAUUAACUAGUUGGUAUGGGAAGAGCCUACGAAGGCUAGGCUCCAUAGCUGGGCUGAGAGGAUGAGCAGCCACACUGGGACUGAGACACGGCCCAGACUCUUACGGGAGGGAGGAGAGGGGAAUAUUGGAAUACGGCGUAAAGCAUGAUCCAGUAAGGCCGCGUGAGCGAUGAAGGCCGUAGGGUUGUAAAGCUCGUUUACCCGCGGUGAUAAUGACAGUACCGGGAGAAUAAGCUCCGGCUAACUUCGUG
rnacentral:rRNA from 1 species